GCUCAGGACGAACGCUGGCGGCGUGCCUAAUACAUGCAAGUCGAGCGGACAGAUGGGAGCUUGCUCCCUGAUGUUAGCGGCGGACGGGUGAGUAACACGUGGGUAACCUGCCUGUAAGACUGGGAUAACUCCGGGAAACCGGGGCUAAUACCGGAUGCUUGUUUGAACCGCAUGGUUCAAACAUAAAAGGUGGCUUCGGCUACCACUUACAGAUGGACCCGCGGCGCAUUAGCUAGUUGGUGAGGUAACGGCUCACCAAGGCAACGAUGCGUAGCCGACCUGAGAGGGUGAUCGGCCACACUGGGACUGAGACACGGCCCAGACUCCUACGGGAGGCAGCAGUAGGGAAUCUUCCGCAAUGGACGAAAGUCUGACGGAGCAACGCCGCGUGAGUGAUGAAGGUUUUCGGAUCGUAAAGCUCUGUUGUUAGGGAAGAACAAGUACCGUUCGAAUAGGGCGGUACCUUGACGGUACCUAACCAGAAAGCCACGGCUAACUACGUGCCAGCAGCCGCGGUAAUACGUAGGUGGCAAGCGUUGUCCGGAAUUAUUGGGCGUAAAGGGCUCGCAGGCGGUUCCUUAAGUCUGAUGUGAAAGCCCCCGGCUCAACCGGGGAGGGUCAUUGGAAACUGGGGAACUUGAGUGCAGAAGAGGAGAGUGGAAUUCCACGUGUAGCGGUGAAAUGCGUAGAGAUGUGGAGGAACACCAGUGGCGAAGGCGACUCUCUGGUCUGUAACUGACGCUGAGGAGCGAAAGCGUGGGGAGCGAACAGGAUUAGAUACCCUGGUAGUCCACGCCGUAAACGAUGAGUGCUAAGUGUUAGGGGGUUUCCGCCCCUUAGUGCUGCAGCUAACGCAUAGCAUCCCCCCCCG
rnacentral:rRNA from 1 species